rnacentral:SRP_RNA from 1 species
ACUAAGUUCGGCAUCAAUAUGGUGACCUCCCGGGAGCGGGGGACCACCAGGUUGCCUAAGGAGGGGUGAACCGGCCCAGGUCGGAAACGGAGCAGGUCAAAACUCCCGUGCUGAUCAGUAGU